CAAUGGCAUUUACAGAGGGAAGCGAGACAGUGAUGUGGAGCGGACCCCUUAAAGAAUGUCGUAGUCCGGAUUGGAGUCUGCAACUCGACUCCAUGAAGUCGGAAUCGCUAGUAAUCGCGAAUCAGCAUGUCGCGGUGAAUACGUUCCCGGGCCUUGUACACACCGCCCGUCACACCAUGGGAGUGGGAUGCAAAAGAAGUAGUUAGUCUAACCUUCGGGAGGACGAUUACCACUUUGUGUUUCAUGACUGGGGUGAAGUCGUAACAAGGUAGCCGUAUCGGAAGGUGCGGCUGGAUCACCUCCU
rnacentral:rRNA from 17 species